UUGCGCCUGCGGCGGACCCGGCGCGGGACCCCAUUUCCGGCUUCGCAGGCAGCCGGUCCCGCGUACGGUCUGGUGCAAUCCUGGAAUUUCCAGGAUUUAAUGAUUUCUC
rnacentral:ncRNA from 1 species